rnacentral:rRNA from 1 species
UACGUAGGGGGCAAGCGUUGUUCGGAAUUACUGGGCGUAAAGGGCGCGUAGGCGGCAUGGCAAGUCGGGGAGUGAAAGGCCUGGGCUCAACCGAGGAACUGGCUUUCGAGACUGCCAAGCUAGAGUGCGGAAGGGGCAUCGUGGAAUUCCCAGUGUAGCGGUGAAAUGGCGUAGAUAUUGGGAAGAACACCUGAGGCGAAAGGCGGGA